GGAGGAAGCGGUGGAGCUCCAUCAGGAGCUGGUCCAGCACUGGAAGCACAGACAGACAGACGAGAUGCUCUCAGAGAGAUUGACUCUGAUGGCCUUUUGGAUUGGGGGACCCUGGGAAACAGAGUCAGCUGACUGGACAGGGAGGUCUGUAGCAGACCGUCUCUGUGGGCUACGGGUUGGCCAGACGCCCACUGCACAUCCAGCUUCAAGGACAGCUGCGAACCUCCUGUGCUGCCCUGAGAAGGAAGAUACUUUAAAAAACCUUUAAUGUUAACUGUGAAUGAAAAACAAUGUGUCCAUG